GAUGAACGCUAGCUACAGGCUUAACACAUGCAAGUCGCGGGGCAGCAUGGGGGUUGCUUGCAAUCCCCGAUGGCGGCCGGCGCACGGGUGAGUAACGCGUAUCCAACCUGCCCUUCACCACGGGAUAACCCGGCGAAAGUCGGACUAAUACCGUAUGUUGUCCAUUGACGGCAUCCGAUUUGGACGAAAGGUUUGGCGGUGAAGGAUGGGGAUGCGUCCGAUUAGCUGGACGGCGGGGUGACGGCCCACCGUGGCGACGAUCGGUAGGGGUUCUGAGAGGAAGGUCCCCCACACUGGAACUGAGACACGGUCCAGACUCCUACGGGAGGCAGCAGUGAGGAAUAUUGGGCAAUGGGCGUAAGCCUGAACCAGCCAAGUAGCGUGCAGGAUGACGGCCCUAUGGGUUGUAAACUGCUUUUAUGCGGGGAUAAAGUGGCCCACGUGUGGGUUUUUGCAGGUACCGCAUGAAUAAGGACCGGCUAAUUCCGUG
rnacentral:rRNA from 1 species